GACGUAGGGCGCGAGCGUUGUCCGGAUUUAUUGGGCGUAAAGAGCUCGUAGGCGGCUCAUUGCGUCUCGGUGAAAACCCGUGGCUUAACUGCGGGCUUGCCGACGAUACGGGUGGGCUGGAGUUCGGUAGGGGAGACUGGAAUUCCUGGUGUAGCGGUGAAAUGCGCAGAUAUCGGGAGGAACACCAGUGGCGAAGGCGACUUCCUGGCCUGUUCUUGACGCUGAGGCGCGAAAGCUAGGGGAGCAAACGGGG
rnacentral:rRNA from 1 species